rnacentral:rRNA from 1 species
AUUGAACGCUGGCGGCAUGCUUUACACAUGCAAGUCGAACGGUAACAGGCCGCAAGGUGCUGACGAGUGGCGAACGGGUGAGUAAUGCAUCGGAACGUGCCCAGUCGUGGGGGAUAACUACUCGAAAGAGUAGCUAAUACCGCAUACGAUCUAUGGAUGAAAGCGGGGGACCGUAAGGCCUCGCGCGAUUGGAGCGGCCGAUGUCAGAUUAGGUAGUUGGUGGGGUAAAGGCUCACCAAGCCAACGAUCUGUAGCUGGUCUGAGAGGACAACCAGCCACACUGGGACUGAGACACGGCCCAGACUCCUACGGGAGGCAGCAGUGGGGAAUUUUGGACAAUGGGCGCAAGCCUGAUCCAGCAAUGCCGCGUGCAGGAAGAAGGCCUUCGGGUUGUAAACUGCUUUUGUACGGAACGAAACGGCUCUGGUUAAUACCCGGGGCUAAUGACGGUACCGUAAGAAUAAGCACCGGCUAACUACGU